rnacentral:rRNA from 1 species
AUGCUAAGAAUGAGAAUAUUGUCCAUUAACUACCAAGCAACGGAGUUGCUAGGAGUAUUGAUUUCGCACAUCACAAUUCAUUUGUCGGUAUUCCGGUUGCAUCAACAUGAGGGCCGAGGAAUGACAAUGAUGGCAGGAAGUAUCACGGUACCAAGAGUUCAUAGGAUGGUGUGCAAUUCCUACAACAAUCUCGAUAUAAAAUAUGUAAUACUCCAAGGUAGAGCAGAACAAAAGCUGGACUGGCAUUUUGAUCUGCGGAGCACAACUUCUUUGACCCAAUCCUGGAUAGGGAAGAGGUACUGGAGUUUAUUUCUCCUAGUCAUUCUGCUAUAG